rnacentral:rRNA from 1 species
CCUACGGGAGGCAGCAGUGAGGAAUAUUGGUCAAUGGACGAGAGUCUGAACCAGCCAAGUAGCGUGAAGGAUGACUGCCCUAUGGGUUGUAAACUUCUUUUAUAUGGGAAUAAAAUGUUCCACGUGUGGGAUUUUGUAUGUACCAUAUGAAUAAGGAUCGGCUAACUCCGUGCCAGCAGCCGCGGUAAUACGGAGGAUCCGAGCGUUAUCCGGAUUUAUUGGGUUUAAAGGGAGCGUAGGUGGAUUGUUAAGUCAGUUGUGAAAGUUUGCGGCUCAACCGUAAAAUUGCAGUUGAAACUGGCAGUCUUGAGUACAGUAGAGGUGGGCGGAGUGCGUGGUGUAGCGGUGAAAUGCUUAGAUAUCACGAAGAACUCCGAUUGCGAAGGCAGUUCACUGGACUGCAACUGACACUGAGGCUCGAAAGUGUGGGUAUCAAACAGGAUUAGAUACCCUUGUAGUC